CCCUUAGAUGUCCUGGGCCGCACGCGCGCUACACUGAGUGUCUGAGAUACGAGUCUGCCUAGCCGGCGAGGUCUAGGUAAUCGCUGAAAGACACAUCAUGCUUGGGAUAGAUUAUUGCAGAUAUUAAUCUUGAACGAGGAAUUCCUAGUAAGCGCAAGUCAACAGCUUGCGUUGAUUACGUCCCUGCCCUUUGUACACACCGCCCGUCGCUACUACUGAUUGGAUGUUUAAGCGAGGUUCUCGAACUGCUAGCGACUUAGCUUCGGUGAGGUCGCCGUGUGGGAAGUGAACCUAGCUUUGGUGUCUAGAGGAAGUAAAAGUCGUAUCA
rnacentral:rRNA from 1 species